rnacentral:rRNA from 1 species
CUACGGGGGGCAGCAGUCAAGAAUCUUUCGCAAUGGCCGAAAGGCUGACGAAGCAAUACCGCGUGAAGGAAGACACCCCUCGGGGUGUAAACUUCUUUUUUCAGGGAAGAAUUAGUGACGUUACCUGAAGAAUAAGCAACUGCUAACUUCGUGCCAGCAGCAGCGGUAGUACGAAGGUUGCAAGCGUUAUCCGGAAUCAUUGGGCGUAAAGCGUCUGUAGGUUGUUUGUUAAGUCUCAAAUUAAAUCUCUAGGCUCAACCUAGAGCUAGUUUGAGAAACUAAUAAACUAGAGGAUGGGAGAGGUAAGCGGAAUGGCCGGUGUAGUAGUAAUAUGCAUUGAUAUCGGCUAGAACACCAAAUGCGAAGGCAGCUUACUGGAACAUUCCUGACACUGAGAGACGAAAGCGUGGGUAGCGAAUGGGAUUAGAUACCCGUGUAGUC